rnacentral:lncRNA from 1 species
CCUUCCGUGCUUCCAGCUCGUUUUCGAUGUUGCGACUUUCGAAUCGUCGAUCGGCUCCGUUAAACUUGAUCUAGAGUAUUUGAAGUACCUAGAAAAUAAAUUUUAUGAUUUUACGAUAUCAUUUGCCUAGUGAACGAAGGGGCUCAAAAUCAACGGCUGAAAAUAAAAAUCUUACAAAAUGUAAUAAUAUGACAUUAAAAUUUUAAAUCAAAGAUAUUGAUCUUGUUUUAUAUAGUAUAAAGAAUUUUCUAUCAAAAUUUCACGUGAUUUGGAUAUUUCUAUAUCGUUAAACUUGCAAACGGCUCAACACGGCCAUUAAAAUUAUUGAUUUUGAGUCCCAUCGAUCACUAGGCAAAUGAUAUCGAAAAAUCAUAAAAUUUAUUUUCUAAGUACUUCAAAUACUCUAGAUCAAGUUUAACGGAGCCGAUCGACGAUUCGAAAGUCGCAACAUCGAAAACGAGCUGGAAGCACAGAAGGCUCCGUGCUUCCGAUAGCAUAGUAGCCUCACUCUAUAAAUAUAUAUAUAUAUAUAGGCCAUGGCUACUAUACUAUUAUGAGUAUUGGAGCCCUCGUACUCAUAAGUUGUUUUCAAUGAUGGAGCUUCCGAAUCGACGAUCCACUCUGUUAAAUAUGAUUUAAAGUAUUUGAAAUUUCUAGAAAAUAAAUUUCGUAAAUUUUCGAAAUCAUAAUAAAGUCCAUCAAGUAGGCAUAAAAUGAACGGUCAAAAUCGAAUGACGUCCUUAAAAAGGAUGAUCGGAACUUUCAAUUCAAGAUCGGAGUUAUUGAUCUUUAUCUAUGUAGUGAAUAGAAUUUUCUAUCAAAAAUUCAACAAAUUCCGAUUCUUUUACACCGUUAAACUAGCAAGUAUCCUAUACUGGCCGUUAAAAAUUGUCAAAUUUGUGACCUCUUGAUCGUAAGGUAAAUGUGUCACGCCCCGGGGUCCCUUUUAGUUUAAAACAUAGCAGAAAAGCGUCUGAAUUUUUUUUUUUUUUUGAAAACCUCACUCCAGAGUAUGUCAGAUCCGCUACAAACACAGGGAAUCCACUGUGCACACGGACAGAGUCUCCCCUGUAUUUUCACGGCGUCGCACAAGUACAAGAAGCAAUCCAGAUACAAUCACAACCAAAUGAACAUACAAGUAACCAACAAUUAUAUAUUCAUACACCAUUCACAUCACAGGUUCAUAUUUAUAUAUUCAAUAUUUAAACAUAAAUCCACAUCUAUCAGUUAAAAUAUUUCCAACUCAGAAAAAGGUUUUGAAAUACUAAGAUACAAAAUCCACAGAAAAUCUUUUGGAAACUGUUCCCUACACGGAAACUUUUCUCUUUUAAAAAUGCUACCACGAGGAGUAGAAAACCUUUUAUUUACGAAAAUUCAGGAAUCUUCUUCUCAUUCGAAAAACCAACUGAAGUCUUGAAUAUUUUAACAUAAUGAAAUACUCAACCAUAUAAACCCACUAAGCUAUAUAUCAAAAGAAAUAAUAAGGGCAAAAGCUAAGCCGAAUAACCUGGGUCAGAAGAUCUAUCGACCGCUACGUACAUGUCUCACGUCUCGUCUCAACCCUUACCGCCCGCGAUACCUGAAAAAUAGUGGGGGAGGUGAGAACAUGUAAACAUGUCUCCCCUCCCAGUGGGUACCGCAAGCCGNNNNNNNNNNNNNNNNNNNNNNNNNNNNNNNNNNNNNNNNNNNNNNNNNNNNNNNNNNNNNNNUACUUCAAAUACUCUAGAUCAAGUUUAACGGAACCGAUCGACGAUUCGAAAGUCGCAACAUCGAAAACGACCUGAAAGCACGGAAGGCUCCGUGCUUCCAGAAGCAUAGUAGCCUCACUCUAUAUAUUUAACGGUGUGGAUCGUCGAUUCGGAAGCUGUAUCAUCGAAAACAACUUAUAAGUACGAGGGCGAUCGUACUAUAAUAGUAUAGUAGCCGGACCCUAUAUAGGCCAUGGCUACUAUACUAUUAUGAGUAUUGGAGCCCUCGUACUCAUAAGUUGUUUUCAAUGAUGGAGCUUCCGAAUCGACGAUCCACUNAGAAGCCAACUUCUCACCGCGGCUUCUCCGGAAAAUCGAGUUACUAUUCACUUUAAGUGAAACUUGGAAAUCGCGUAGAAUUUCCGUUUUAACUCGAUUUCGCCCGAAACUUGACGAGUGCUUUUGUAAUUAAAUUACACACAAAAACAUCGUCAACUGAGAGUUUAGCUACACUGCAAAAAUCUCAGUCCUUACAUCAUAUAUAUGCAUGAUCGCUGAAUAUUUUACCUAAGAUUAAGCAGAAGAGGGAUUAGUUAUGAAAUAUAAAUUAUAUAACUCACAUCUAAUCAAGUAAAUAUAAGUCAGUUCAAUAGAAAGAAGCAGGCAGAAUGCAGAGAAAGUGCAGCAAGUAGUAAAAGACCACACAGAGUGGAAAGAAUAAGAAGAAGAAGCAACUAAGUAUGAUAUAGUAUGUAACUAAGCCCACAAAACAUUGGAAUAUGUGCUCAGGCCAUAUACUUUAAGGUAUCGUUUGGUUCGGGGAUAAGUAAAAAGUGGCUAUUCCAGGGAAAAGUAUAAAUUGAGGUAUAAGCGGGAAUUAGAUCAAUUUUGCGUUUGGAUGAAAAUUAGGUUAUUCCUGUGAAUAAAAAAAAUAGCGUUUGGUUAGAUAAGAUGUAAUAAAAAGUGUAGUGGGUUUUAAUAAAUAAAACAUAAUGAUAUUACCCACCUAUUAUAUUUUAAUUUAAAUUUUUAAUUUUUAAUUUUAUAUUUUUAAAUUUAAAUUUUUAACUUUGAAAUUUCAAAUUUUGAAAUCUCAAAUUUUAAAUUCAAAAUUUUAAAUUUUAAAUUUCAAACUUUAAAUUUAAGAUCAAAUUUAAAUUUAAAAAAUAUAAAAUAUCAAAUUUUAAAUUUUAAAAAUUUAACAUAUCAAAAUUUAGAAUUUAGAAUUUAAAAUUAAAAACUUUAAUUUUGAGAUUACAAAUUUUAAAUUUUAAAAUUUUAAAUUUUAAAUGUUUAAAUUUUAAAAUAAGAAUAGGGGUGGGAACAAUUAAUAAAAAUAAUUUAUUAUAAUAAAUUUAUAAAGUUUUUUAAAAUUCUACUUAAACUUAAAUUUAAUAAAUAUAAUUUAUUAUAAUAUUUAAAUAUAAAUAAUAUGUAUUAAUAUAGUACAAUUAAUAAAUUUAUAAUAAAAAUAAUGUAUUAUAAUAUAUAACAUAUUAUAUUUAUAUAAUUUAGUGUUAAUUCAAUUUAAAAUUUUAAUUAAGUUUGAAAUUAAGCAUUGGAAUAGCACUAUUCCACCAAAAAGGUGGAAUAGCAAAUUCCUUGCUAUUCCGAGAGAACCUGGAAUAGUAAGGUUUGACCGGGAUAAAAUAUUCCGGUAAAAAAUUGCGCCGUUUAGCGGAAUAGCGGGAAUAACUUUCGUUAUUCUCACUUAUCCUCCGAACCAAACGGGGCCUAAUGUUAUUGUAUUUAUACUAGAAUAUAUGCUUAGGGUCCUUACUAUUAUGAGUAUGAUCGCCCUCGUACUUAUUAGUUGUUUUCGAUGAUACAGCUUCCGAAUCGACGAUCCACACCGUUAAACAUUAUUUACAGCAUUUAAAACUUCUAGAAAUCAAAUUUUAUAAUUUUUCGACAUCAUUUAUCUUACGAUCAAGAGGUCACAAAUUUGACAAUUUUUAACGGCCAGUAUAGGAUACUUGCUAGUUUAACGGUAUAAAAGAAUCGGAUUUUGUUGAAUUUUUGAUAGAAAAUUCUAUUCACUACAUAGAUAAAGAUCAAUAACUCUGAUCUUGAAUUGAAGGAUCCGAUCAUCCUUUUUUAGGACGUCAUUCGAUUUUGACCGUUCAUUUUAUGCCCACUUGAUAGACUUUAUUAUGAUUUCAAAAAUUUACGAAAUUUAUUUUCUAGAAAUUUCAAAUACUCUAGAUCAUAUUUAACGGAGUGGAUCGUCGAUUCGGAAGCUCCAUCAUUGAAAACAACUUAUGAGUACAGAGGAUCCAAUACUCAUAACUAGUAUAGAGUCAUGGCCUAUAUAUAUAUAUAUAUAAUAUCAUUAAUAUUAUAUAAUUGCGGCUAGGAUGCUUAUGGAAACACGGAGGGCUCCGUGCUUCACUUUGUUUUCGAUGUUCGGCUUUCGAAUUGACGAUCGGCUCCGUUAGAGUUCAUCUGAGUAUUUGAAGUAUCUAGAAAAUAAAUUUUGCGAUUUUCGAUAUAUUUGCCUAGUGAUCGACGUGGCUCAAAAUCAACGGAGCUGAAAAUAAAAAUCUUACAAAAAUAAUGAUAAUGAUAUUAAAAUUUUAGAUCAAAUAUUGAUCCUGUUUUAUUAUGGUAUAAAGAAUUUUCUAUCAAAAUUUCAUGUGAUAUUGGAUAUUUCUACACUGUUAAACUUGCAACCGGCCCACCACGCCUGUUAAAUUAUUGAUUUGAGCCCCUUCGAUCCUAGGCAAAUGAUAUCAAAAAACGCAAUUUAAUUUUUUAGGUACUUCAAAUACUCUAGAUCAACUCUACGGAGCCGAUCGUCGAUUCGAAAGUCCGAACAUCGAAAAUAAUUGGAAGCACAGAGGCCUCCGUGCUUCCAUAAGCAUACCAGCCACUCUAUAAUAUAUUAUAUAUAAUAUUAUAUAUAUAUUUAUAUAUAUAUAUAUAUAUAUAUCAUAUAUAUAUAUAUAUAACUUUCAAGUCGUUUUCGAUGUUGCGACUUUCGGAAAUUCGAUCGAUCGGCUCCGUUAAACUUGAUCUAGAGUAUUUGAAGUACUUAGAAAAUAAAUUUUAUAAUUUUUCGAUAUCAUUUGCCUAGUGAUCGAUGGGACUCAAAAUCAAUAAUUCUAAUAGCCAUGUUGAGCCGUUUGCAAGUUUAACGGUGUAGAAAUAUCCAAAUCACGUGGAAUUUUGAUAGAAAAUUCUUUCUACUAUAUAAAACAAGAUCAGUAUAUUUGAUCUAAAAUUUUAAUGUCAUAUUAUCGCGUUUUGUAAGAUUUUUAUUUUCAGCCGUUGAUUUUGAGCCCCUUAGUUCACUAGGCAAAUGAUAUCGAAAAAUUGCAAAAUUUAUUUUCUAGGUACUUC